CCAGUCGGCUGGAUGGCCGCUGCCGUGAGGCAGAGGAAAGUCCGGGCUCCACGGAGACACGGCGCCGGAUAAGGUCCGGCGGGGGAGACCCCAGGGAAAGCGCCACAGAAAGUAAACCGCCGCUAAUGCGGUAAGGGUGAAAGGGUGCGGUAAGAGCGCACCGCUGGGGCGGCGACGUCCCAGGCAUGGCAAGCCCCGCUGGGAGCAAGACCGAAUAGGGGCGACGCUGGCGGCAUUAGCCGUCAAGCCUGUCUCCGGGUAGUCGCCCGGGUUGGUCGCCAGAGGCGGUCGGCGACGAUCGUCCCAGAGGAAUGGCCGUCACGCGGAGUUCAGCUUGCUGGACGCCGCCAUACAGAACCCGGCUUAUAGGCCGGCUGGCGCU
rnacentral:RNase_P_RNA from 1 species